rnacentral:piRNA from 7 species
GGUUAGCACUCUGGACUCUGAAUCCAGC